CCUACGGGUGGCAGCAGUGGGGAAUAUUGCACAAUGGGGGAGACCCUGAUGCAGCGACGCCGCGUGAAGGAAGAAGUAUUUCGGUAUGUAAACUUCUAUCAGCAGGGAAGAAAAUGACGGUACCUGACUAAUAAGCGCCGGCUAACUACGUGCCAGCAGCCGCGGUAAUACGUAGGGGGCAAGCGUUAUCCGGAUUUACUGGGUGUAAAGGGAGCGUAGGCGGUGAUGCAAGGCAGAAGGGAAAGCCGGGGGCUCAACUCCGGGACUGCUUUUGAAACUGGAUGGCUAGAGUGCAGGAGAGGCAAGUGGAAUUCCUAGUGUAGCGGUGAAAUGCGUAGAUAUCAGGCGGAACACCAGUGGCGAAGGCGGCUUUCUGGACUGUAAAUGACGCUGAGGCUCGAAAGCGUGGGGAGCAAACAGGAUUAGAUACCCGAGUAGUC
rnacentral:rRNA from 1 species